AAAAUCAACAGCUGGCUAUGCGGGACCCACCUGGCGGACAGUCCGGAAUCACCUGCCGGGCAUGCAGGAACCACCACUCAGACGUAACAGAACCACGUGCCAGACACGCUAGAAGCACGUCCUGGACAGACUGGAACCACCUGCUGGACACGCCUGGACCACCUGCCGAGCACGCCGGAACCACCUGCUCGACUCGCAGGACCCACGUGCCGGACACGCCAAAAUGAACUGCCGGCUACACCAGAACCACUACCCGACACUCCGGCAUCACCUGUUGGGCAUGCGCAACCACCUCUGAGAUGUACCAGAACCACGAGCUGUGCACGCCGGAACCGCCUACCGGAAAGACGGGAAUCACCUUUCGGGCAGGCCGGAACCACCUGUCAGAUGUGCCAGAAACACGUGCCGGAGACGCCGGAAGCACCUGCCGAGCACGUCAAAACCACCUGCUCAACUCGCCUGAACCACGUGCCGGACACGCCGGAACCAACUCCAGGACAGACCGGAACAACCUGCCGGACGUGCCUGAACCAACUGUCGAGGACGCCGGAAACACAUGCUCGACUCGCUGCAACCACAUGCCGGACAUGGCAAAAUCACCUGACGGCUACGCCAGAACCACUUGGAGGACACUCCGGAACCACCUGCCGGGCAUGCCAGCACAACCUCUCAGAAGUGCCAGAAGCACGUGCCGGACAGGCCGGAACCAUCUCCCGGACAGACCGGAUCCACAGGAAACACUCCCCGGAACCACCUGCUUGACUCACCGGUCCCACCUGCAGGACAUGCCCAAAUUGCCUGCCAGCUACACCAGAACCACUUGGGGGACAAGCCGGAAUCACGUGAGGGGCAUGCCGGCACAGCCUCUCAAACGUGCCAGAACCUCGUGCCGGACACCCCAGAACCACCUGCCGGACAGACCGCAACCACCUGCCGGACACGCCAGAACCACCGGCUCGACCCGCCGGAACCACCGCCGGACAUGCAAAAUCACCUGCCAGCUAUGCCAGAACCACUUGGCGAACACUCCGGAAUCACCUGCCGGGCAUGCCGGAACCACCUCUCAGACAUGCCAGAACAAUAUGCCAGUGACCCCGGAAGCACCUGCCGAGCACACCGGAACCACCUGCUCGACUCGCCAGAACCACCUGCCGGACACGCAAAAGUCACCAGACGGCUACGCCCCAACCAGUUGGUGAACACUUCGGAAUCACCUGCCGGGCUUGCUGGAACCACCUGCCGGUCAUGCCAAAAUCACCUGCCAACUACGCCAGAACCGCUUGGCGGACACUGCGGAAACACCUGUCGGGCCGGCCGGAACCACAUCUCAGAUGUGCCAGAACCAUGUGCAUGAGAUGCCGGAUCCACACCCUGAACAGACGGGAACCACCUGGCAGACCCGCCUGAACCACCUGCCGAGCACGCCGGAACCACCUGAUCGACUCGCCGGAACCACCGACCUGACACACCAAAAUCACCUGCCGGGUAUGCCAGAACCACUUGGCGGACACUCCGGAAUCAUCUGCCGGACAUGCGGGAACCAGCUCUCAGACACACCAGAACCACGUGCCGGAGACGCCGCAAGCACCUGCCGAGCAUGCCGGAGCCACCUGCUCGACUCGCCAGAAACAACUGCCGGACACGCCAAAAUCACCUGCCUGCUAGGCCUGAACCACUUGUCGGACUCUCCGGGAUCACCUGGUGGGCAUGCCGGAACCAUGUCUCAGACGUGCCAGAACCAAGUGCCGGACACGCCAGAACCACCUGCCGACCAGGCUGGAACCACCAGCCGAACACGCCAAAAUCACCUGCCGGUAAUGCCAGAAUCACUUGGAGGACUCUCCGGGAUCACCGGCCGGGCAUGCCGGAACCAACUCUGAGACGUACCAGAAGCACGUGCCAGACACGCCGGAACCACAUCCUGGACAGACUGGAGCCACCGGCCGGACACGCACGAACAUCCUGCCGAGAAUGCCAGAAACACCUGCUCGGCUCCUGGGAAAAUCCUAUGGGGAAACUGUCAUACAAAUGAAGGUCAAACGGCCUUUCUUGCCAGGCCUUAGCUCGCCACUUUAGAACUUCUGCUUCUGCCACAAUUCCACCUUGCCAACCCGGCUCAGACGAAAUGCCUACAGAUUCCCCUUGAGCAAUUGGGACGAGGCCCGGAUGAUUGUGGUUCCACAUGCUGAGGAGGAGAGAGACAAUAGGCUUUUAACUAACCACCAAGUGCAAUGGUUGAGAGAGUGUCAGAAAGCACCAAUGGCAGAAAGACCCCUUUGCUCUCAGCCAUGCCCUCCAUUGCUCUAGAGCUGGAAGGCACAAAGGACUGCCUCAAUCCUUCAAUGCGAAACAAGCCAUAAACUGUCUUGCUUCCAGCUCUUUAGGAAGCUGAGAAAGAACUCGCUUUCCACAGUGCUGUUUAAGCAUAUGAGGAAACACUCAUACAAAUGCAGCUCAAACGCCAUUUCUUACCAGUGCUUAACUCGCCGCUUUAGGACUUCUGCUUCUGCCGCAAUUCCACCUUGCCAACCCGGUGAGACGAAAUGCCUACAUCUUCCCCUGAAGCAACUGGGCUGUGUCCAAAAUGAUUGAGCGUCCACGUGCUUAGGAGGUGAUAGACUGCACGCCUUUUUCCAACCUCCAUUGUGCACUGGUGGAGAGAGUGUUGGAAAGCAGCUGUGUCAGAAAGACCCCUUUGCUCUCAGCUCUGCCCUCCAUUGCUCUAGACGUGGAAUGCACAAUGCACUGGCUCUACCCCUCAAAGUUCCACAACCCACAGGCCAUCUUCCUUCCAUCUCUUUAGGAAGCUGAGAAAGAACUCGCUUUCACCAGUGCUCUUUCUGUGUCCUGGCAACAUCUCAUACAAAGGCUGCUGAUAUGCCGUUUCUUUUCAGCGCUUAACUCGCUGAUUUAGAACUUCUGCUUGCCAGAUUUACACCUUGCCAACCCGGCUCAGACAAAAUGCCUACAUCUUCCCCUUCAGCAACGGGAACGAGGCCCAGAUGAUUGUGCCUCCACAUGUUUAGCAAGAGGAGACAAUAGGCUUUUUACAAACUGCCAUUGUGCACUGGUGCAGAGGGUGUCACAAUGCACCUAUGUCAGAAAGGUCCCUUUCAUCUCAGACGUGCCCUCCAUUGCUCUAGAGGUGGAAGGCACAAAGCACUGCCUCCAUCCUUCAAUUGGAGAAAAGCAAUAAACUGUCCUCCUUCCAGCUCUUUAGGAAGCUGGGAAGGCACUCGCAUUUCACAGUGCUCUUACAGCAUCCUGGGAACAUCACAUACAAAGACAACUUAACGCCGUGUCAUUUCAGCCCUUAACUCACCAAUCUGCAACAUCCGCUUCUGCCACAUUUCCAUCUUGCCAACCCGGCUCAGACAAAAUGCCUACAUCUUCCCCUUGAGCAAUGGGGACGACGCCCGGAUGAUUGUGGUUCCACAUGCUGAGGAGGAGACAGACAAUGGGCUUUUAACCAACCGACCUUGAGCAGUGGUUUGGGGAGUGUCAGAAGGCACCAAUGUCGGAAAGGCCCUUUACUCUCGGCCGUGCCCUCCAUUCCUCUAGAGGUAGGAGGCACAAGGCACUGGCACCACCCCUGAAGGGGAUCAGAAAGCACCUAUGGCAGAAAGCCCCCUUGGCUCUCAGCUGUGCCCUCCAUUGCUCUGCAGGUGGAAGGCACAAAGCACUGCCUCCAUCCUUCAAUGGGAGACAAGCCAUAUAUUGUCUUGCCUCCAGCUCUUUAGGAAGCUGACGAACAACUCGCUUUCCACAGUCCCCUUACAGCAUACCAGGUACCUCUCAUACAAAGGCAGCUCAAACGCCAUUUCUUCCCAGUGCUUAACUCGCAGCUUUAGGACUUCUGCUUCUGCCGCCAUUCCACCUUGCCAAUCCGGCUCAGACGAAAUGCCUACAUCUUCCCCUGAAGCAACUGGGCUGAGUCCCAAAUGAUUGAGCGUCCACGUGCUUAGGAGGCGAUAGACUGCACGCCUUUUUCCAACCACCAAUGUGCACUGCUGGAGAGAUUUUCGUAAAGAAGCUAUGUCAGAAAGGCCCCUUUGCUCACAGCCGUGCCCUUCAUUGCUCUACAGGUGGAAGGCACAAGGCACUGGCUCUGGAUCCACCCCUCAAUAGGAGACAAACAACAUCUUGUCCUGCUUCCAGCUCUGUAGGAAGCUGAGAAAAAACUCCCUUUCCACAGUGCCCUUACAGCGUCCUGGGAACAUCUCAUACAAAGGAGGCUGAACACCGUUUCCUUCAUCACUUCACACCCCAGUCUGGGACUUCUGCAUCCUGCACAUUUCCACCUUGGCAACCUGGCUCAGACAAAAUGCCUACAUCUUCCCCUUCAGCAACGGGCACGAGGCCCAGAUGAUUCUGCUUCCACAUGCUUAGCAGGAGCAGACAAUAGGCUUUUUACAAACCGCCAUUGUGCACUGGUGCUGAGAGUGUCAGAGUGCACCUAUGUCAGAAAGGGCCCUUUGCUCUCAGCCAUGACCUCCAUUGCUCCAGAGGUGGAAGGCACAAAGCACUAUCUCCAUCCUUCAAUUGGAGACAAGCCAUCAACUGUCCUGCUUCCAGCUCUGUAGGAAGCUGAGAAAGAUCUCGCUUUCCACAGUGCUGUUACAGCAUACGAGGAAACUCUCAUACAAAGUCAGCUCAAACGCCAUUUCUUCCCAGCACUUAAUUUGCCGCUUUAGGACUUCUGCCACUGCUGCAAUUCUACCUUGCCAACCUUGCUCAGAUGAAAUGCCUACAUCUUCCCCUGAAGCAACUGGGCUGAGUCCCAAAUGAUUUAGCAUCCACCUGCUCAGGAGGCGAUAGACUGUAAACCUUUUUCCAACCACCAUUGUGCACUGGUGGAGAGAGUCUCAGAAUGCAGCUAUGUCAGAAAGACCCUUUUGCUCUCAACCAUGCCCUCCAUUGCUCUAGACGUGGAAUGCACAAUGCAUUGGCUCCACCCCUCAAGGGGCCACAAGCCACAGACCAUCUUUCUUCCAUCUCUUUAGGAAGCUGAGAACAAACUCACCUGACGUAUAAAAAGGAAUCAUGCCCUUUAUGUGCCAGAAAACCCCGGGAGACAUGCCAAAAACACUCUCUGCACACUCUCAAAAAGCCACACAUUCAUGCCUGUACGACCCAACAGGCAUACCAGAAGCACCCACGUUGCAUGCCAGAACCACCUGUAACCACCUGCUGGACACAGUGGAACAGCGAUUCUGACACUGCAGAACCAUCUCUUCAACAUGCCAGCCCCACACUAUGACUUGACGGAACCAGAUCCCAAACAUAGCACAACGACAUGCCAGACACAUUGUAAACACCUGUUGCAUAUGACACAAAUAGGUGCCAGAAACACUGAUACCAGCUCAGGAGUAUGAAAGAACGGGGGCCAGAAAUGCCACAAGCAUCUGUCUUAAAAGCCAGAGCCACGAGCCCAAAAAGCAGGAAAGACCUGCCGGACAUACCAAAAUAAACUGCCGGUGAUGCCAGAACCACUUGGCAGACACCGAGGAAUCACCUGCCAGGCACGCCCGAAGCACCUCACAGACGUGCCAGAACCAUGUGCCGGCCAUGCCGGAACCAGCUACCGGACAGACCAGAAGCACCUGUCGGACACGCCGGAACCACUUGCCGAGCACGCAGGAACCACCUGCUCGACACGCAGGACCCACCUGCUGGACACGCCAAAAUCACCUGCCGGCUCCACCAGAACCACUUGGUGGGCACUCUGGAAUCUCCUGCGGGCAUGCAGGAACCACCUCUCAAACUUGCCACAACCACAUUCCUGACACACCGGGACCACCCUCCAUAAACACCAAAAGAACAUGCCAAGGACGCCAAAAUAACCUGCACGACUCGCUGGAACCAUGUGCCGGACACGCCAUAAUCACCUGCUGGCUAUGCCAGAACAACAUGGCAGAGACUCCGAAAUCACCUGCCAGCCAUGCCGGAACCGCAUCUCAAACGUACCAGAACCACAUGACGGACACGAAGGAACCACCGGCUAGACAUGCCGGAACCACAGCUGGACAUGCAAAACCACCUGCCGGCUACGCCAGAACAACUUGGCGAACACUCCGGAAUCACAUGCCGGGCAUGCCGGAAGCACCUGCUCGACUCGCCAGAACCACCUACCUGACACGCCAAAAUCACCUGCUGGCUAUGCCAGAACCACUUGGCGAACAUGCCAAAAUCACCUGCCGGGCAUGCCGGAACCACCUCUCCGACAUGCCAGAACCACAUGCCAAUGACACUCGAAGGACCUGCUGAACAUGCCGGAACCACCUGCUCGACUCGCCAGAACCACCUGCCAAACAUGCCAAAAUCACCUGCAGGCUACGCCACAACCAGUUGGUGAACACUUCGGAAUCACCUGCCAGUCUGGCUGGAACCACCUGCCGGUCACGCCCACAUCACCUGUCAGCUACGCCAGAACCACUUGGCGAACUCUCCGGAAACACCUGUCGGUCCGGCCGGAACCACCUCUCUGACUUGCCAGAACCAUGUUGCGGACACGCCAGUACCACAUGCCCAGUAUGCUGUUACCACCUGAUCCACUCGCCAGAAAGACCUGCUGGAGACGCCAAAAUCACCUGUCGACUAUGCCAGAACCACUUGGCAGACACUCCGCAACCACCUCCAGGACAGGCCGGAACCACCUGCUGGACAGACCAAAAUCACUGAAAACAUUCGCAGUAACCACCUGCUUGACUCACCGGUCCCACCUGCAGGACACGCCAAAAUCACCUGCCCGCUACACCAGAACCACUUGGCGGACAAGCUGCAAUCACGUGAAGGGCACUCCGACACAACCUCUCAGACGUGCCAGAACCAUGUGCCGGACACGCCGGAACCACCUGCCGAGUAUGCCGGAACCACCUGAACCACUGCACAGAACCACCUGCCGUUCACACCAACAUCACCUGCCAGCUAUGCCAGAACCACUUUGCGGACACUCCGGAAACACCUGUCGGGCCGGCCGGAACCACCUCUCAUACGAGCCAGGACCAUGUGCGUGAGAUGCGGGAACCACACCCCGAACACACCGAAACCACCUGCCAGACCCGCCUGAACCACCUGCCAAGCACGCCGGAACGACCUCAUCGACUCGCCGGAACCACCUACCUGACACACCAAAAUCACCUGCCGGGUAUGCCAGAACCACUUGGUGGACACUCCGGAAACGUCUGCCGGACAUGCCAGAACCAGCUCUCAGACACACCAGAAUCACGUGCCGGACACGCUGGAAGCACCUGCUGCGCAUGCCGAGCCACCUGCUCGACUCACAAGAAACCCCUGCCGGACACGCCAAAAUCAUCUGCCAGGUACGCCAGAACCACUCGGCGGACACUCCGGAAUCACCUUUCGGGCAUGCCGGAACCACCUCUCAGAGGUGCCAGAACCACAUCCCGGACACUCUGGAAUCACCUGUCGGGCAUGCCAGCAAAACCUCUCAGAAGUGCCAGAAGCACGUGCCAGACAGGCCAGAACCAUCUCCCGGACAGACCGGAACCACGGGAAACACUCGCCGGAACCACCUGCUUGACUCACCGGUCCCACCUGCCGGACACGCCAAAAUCACCUGCCCGCUACACCAGAACCACUUGGUGGACAAGCUUGAAUCACGUGAAGCGCAUGCCGACACAACCUCUCAGACGUGCCAGAACCUCGUGCCGGACACCCCAGAACCAUCUGCCGGACAGACCGGAACCACCUGCCGGACACCCCAGAACCAGCGGCACAAGUCACCGGAACCACCGCGGGACAUGCAAAAUCACCUGCCAGCUACGCCAGAACCAUUUGGCGAACAGUCCCGAAUCACCUGCCAGGCAUGAAGGAACCACCUCUCAGACAUGCAAGAACCACAUGCCAAUGACACCGGAAGCACCUGCCAAGCACGCUGGAAACACCUGCUCGACACGCCACAGCCACCUGCUGGACACGCCAACAUCACCUGCCGGCUACGCCACAACCAUUUGGUGAACCCUUGGAAUCACCUGCUGGGCUUGCUGGAACAACCUGCCGGUGACGCCAACAUCACCUGGCAGCUACGACAGAACCACUUGGCGGACAUUCCGGAAACACCAGCCAGGCCAGCCGGAACCAUCUCUCCGACGUGUCAGAACCAUGUGCCUGAGAUGCCCGAACCACACCCCGAGCAGACCAAAACCACAUGCCAGACCGCCUGAACCACCUGCCAAGCACGCCGGAACCACCUACCUGACACGCCAAAAUCACCUGCCGGCUAUGCCAGAACCACUUGGCGAACACUCCGGAAUCACCUGCCGGGCAUGCCAGAACCACCUCUCAGACAUUCCAGAACCACAUGCCAAUGACACUGGAAGGACCUGCCGAGCACGCCGGAACCACCUGCUCGACUCGCCAGAAGCCCCUGCCGGACACGCCAAAAUCACCU
rnacentral:lncRNA from 1 species